UUUAUUACUUCUUUCUUUUCUCUCUCUCUUUCUCACUCUCUCACGCCUCUGCCCUCCUCCAGCUCUCUCUCUCGCCUUUGUCUCCAUCGUCGUCGGGUACGGGAGCAUCACUGCCAUCGCACACAAGCACCACCGUCACUGCGUAUGCGAUUCCACUUUGAUCGACUCAGCCUUUCCUCUUUAAUCUCUCUGAAAUUAUCUCUAGAUCGACCAAGGAUCUCCGGGCCACCAUUAUCACAGUUUCUCUGUGUAUAGCAAAGAUGAAUCAUGCUAUAUACUUUUUGUGUCUGCAAGGUGCUCGACAAAAUGUCACAAUGGCAACUGAAAUUUGCAUUUUGUUUAGGUGAGUCUUUUGACUGAAAAUGGAAACACCAAGGAUGAUUUGAGGCUCCCCACUGAUGAUGCUCUGCUCCCCACUGAAAAUUCUAGCGAUGACUGGUCAUUGACAGGUCAUUUGGCUUUGAUACUG